GCGGUUUAUCCGGAUUAUUGGGCGUAAAGCGCGCGUAGGCGGUUUCUUAAGUCUGAUGUGCAAAGCCCACGGCUCAACCGUGGAGGGUCAUUGGAAACUGGGGAACUUGAGUGCAGAAGAGGAGAGUGGAAUUCCAUGUGUAGCGGUGAAAUGCGCAGAGAUAUGGAGGAACACCAGUGGCGAAGGCGGCUCUCUGGUCUGUAACUGACGCUGAUGUGCGAAAGCGUGGGGAUCAAACAGGAUUAGAUACCCUGGUAGUCCACGCCGUAA
rnacentral:rRNA from 1 species